rnacentral:rRNA from 1 species
CCCUUAGAUGUUCUGGGCCGCACGCGCGCUACACUGAUGCGUUCAACGAGUUUACAACCUUGAUUGAUAGGUCUGGGUAAUCUUUUGAAUGCGCAUCGUGCUAGGGAUAGAUUAUUGCAAUUAUUAAUCUUGAACGGGGAAUUCCUAGUAAACGCAAGUCAUCAGCUUGCAUUGAUUACGUCCCUGCCCUUUGUACACACCGCCCGUCGCACCAAAUGAUUGAAUGUGUUGGUGAAAUAUUGGGAUAUUAUGUUUUGGGACUUUAUUGGCCUGAAACGUGAUAGAACUGCAUUAAACCACUACAUUUAGAAUCUGGUGAAGUCGUAACA